UAUCGUUUAAAAAAAAAAAAUCUGUUUUCGUUUUCAAUUGCAAUCACCUGGGAAUUCUCGCCACAUUUUGACCUUUGCCUUUGCUUUACUUGUUUGCUUGUCUGUUCAUGGCGAAAGUUCGUUCAUCUUCUUAAUUGCUUUUUAAUUUCCUCAUGGUUUUCGUUUGUAGUUGUUUGCGUUUUUUAACUUUCGCAUUUGCAGUAGCUCAAAAGCCUCAAAAAUGGAUCGGAGAACCUUCGUCAGACUCUGAAGAAUCUUUCGUUAAUGUGAAGAGAUCUGAUUUUCGAGCUGAUUUUGUUUUCGGAGCUUCAACUGCUGCUGCUCAGAUUGAAGGAUCAGAAAAAUCUAAAGGAAAAAGGCCUACUGUAUGGGAUCAAUUUAUUCGGAAAUUGCAAGAUAAAAUAGUGGACAAUAGUUCUUUGGAAGUAGCAAUUGAUUUGCACAACUGCUAUAAGGUAUGAAGCUUUUUGUGACAUUAUUGCACUUUGAUUCACCGGAAACUCUUGAAGACAAGUAUGGAGGCUUCUUAAAUCGUAGCCUUUUGUGAAAUGGGUGACCAGAAGCGUGCAUAGAGGCAUGUGACGUGCGUGGGGAGUGGUGGUGGUAGUGCGCAAGGUGGAAGACAGCAUGGGAGAGUGGGGAUGGUGCUGGUGGCAGACAGCAUGGGAGAGUGGGGAGAGGCAAGUGGGGGUCUAGGGUUUCGGGAUUGGGUUUGGAUGUUGGGCUAGGUUAAUUUUAGGUUUUGGGUUUGAAGAUGGGUUAAAUAGUUUAAUGGGCCCGGGUAUUUUGUAAACGGGCCAAAAUUGGCCUACAACAGCUACCCCUCUUUGCUCAUUGUCGUAUAAUGGGAAUAGAGCAAAGACACAAAGAAAGGCCAAUUUUGCCCGGUCUUGCCAAGUGUUGACUUCUUUGGUGCUCUUCUUUUUUUAGGUAGUCUUUUACUAGUCCACCGCAUCUUGUAGCUUUGGUUCAAUCCACGGCAUCUUCUGACAUAUGCCUUGUAGCUUCAAUCUACUCCAAUGUAAUUUAAAGGAUAUGAAAUUCGGCUUC